rnacentral:rRNA from 1 species
CCCUUAGAUGUUCUGGGCCGCACGCGCGCUACAAUGAUGAAUUCAACGAGUUUAUAACCUUGGUUGAAAAGCCUGGGUAAUCUUUUGAACUUUCGUCGUGAUGGGGCUAGACCCUUGCAAUUAUUGGUCUCCAACGAGGAAUUCCUAGUAAACGCAAGUCAUCAGCUUGCAUUGAUUACGUCCCUGUCCUUUGUACACACCGCCCGUCGCACCUACCGAUUGAAUGGUCCGGUGAAAUCUUCGGAUUGAGACUUUGAUUUCUUCACGGAAAACGCUGUUUUAAAAAGUUGAUUAAACCUUACCAUUUAGAGGAAGGUGAAGUCGUAACA